rnacentral:rRNA from 1 species
ACGGGUGAGUAACACGUGAGUAACCUGCCCUUGACUCUGGGAUAAGCGCUGGAAACGGCGUCUAAUACCGGAUAUGACAACCGACGGCAUCGUCUGGUUGUGGAAAGAAUUUUGGUCAAGGAUGGACUCGCGGCCUAUCAGCUUGUUGGUGAGGUAAUGGCUCACCAAGGCGACGACGGGUAGCCGGCCUGAGAGGGUGACCGGCCACACUGGGACUGAGACACGGCCCAGACUCCUACGGGAGGCAGCAGUGGGGAAUAUUGCACAAUGGGCGAAAGCCUGAUGCAGCAACGCCGCGUGAGGGACGACGGCCUUCGGGUUGUAAACCUCUUUUAGCAGGGAAGAAGCGAAAGUGACGGUACCUGCAGAAAAAGCACCGGCUAACUACGUGCCAGCAGCCGCGGUAAUACGUAGGGUGCAAGCGUUGUCCGGAAUUAUUGGGCGUAAAGAGCUCGUAGGCGGUUUGUCGCGUCUGCUGUGAAAUCCCGAGGCUCAACCUCGGGUCUGCAGUGGGUACGGGCAGACUAGAGUGCGGUAGGGGAGAUUGGAAUUCCUGGUGUAGCGGUGGAAUGCGCAGA